CUGCCCAGAAGCAGGGGAUAACACUUGGAAACAGGUGCUAAUACCGUAUAACAACAAAAUCCGCAUGGAUUUUGUUUGAAAGGUGGCUUCGGCUAUCACUUCUGGAUGAUCCCGCGGCGUAUUAGUUAGUUGGUGAGGUAAAGGCCCACCAAGACGAUGAUACGUAGCCGACCUGAGAGGGUAAUCGGCCACAUUGGGACUGAGACACGGCCCAAACUCCUACGGGAGGCAGCAGUAGGGAAUCUUCCACAAUGGACGAAAGUCUGAUGGAGCAAUGCCGCGUGAGUGAAGAAGGGUUUCGGCUCGUAAAACUCUGUUGUUAAAGAAGAACACCUUUGAGAGUAACUGUUCAAGGGUUGACGGUAUUUAACCAGAAAGCCACGGCUAACUACGUGCCAGCAGCCGCGGUAAUACGUAGGUGGCAAGCGUUGUCCGGAUUUAUUGGGCGUAAAGCGAGCGCAGGCGGUUUUUUAAGUCUGAUGUGAAAGCCUUCGGCUUAACCGGAGAAGUGCAUCGGAAACUGGGAGACUUGAGUGCAGAAGAGGACAGUGGAACUCCAUGUGUAGCGGUGGAAUGCGUAGAUAUAUGGAAGAACACCAG
rnacentral:rRNA from 2 species